rnacentral:rRNA from 1 species
AGGACGAACGCUGGCGGCGUGCUUAACACAUGCAAGUCGAGCGGAAAGGCCCUUCGGGGUACUCGAGCGGCGAACGGGUGAGUAACACGUGAGCAACCUGCCCUUAGCUUCGGGAUAGCUCCGGGAAACCGGAAUUAAUACCGAAUAUGACCAUGGCCGACAUCAGCCAUGGUGGAAAGUUUUUCGGCUAGGGAUGGACUCGCGGCCUAUCAGCUAGUUGGUGAGGUAACGGCCCACCAAGGCGACGACGGGUAGCCGGCCUGAGAGGGCGACCGGCCACACUGGGACUGAGACACGGCCCAGACUCCUACGGGAGGCAGCAGUGGGGAAUAUUGCGCAAUGGGCGAAAGCCUGACGCAGCGACGCCGCGUGGGGGAUGAAUGCCUUCGGGUUGUAACCCCUUUCAGCAGGGACGAAGCGAAAGUGACGGUACCUGCAGAAGAAGCGCCGGCUAACUACGCGCCAGCAGCCGC